rnacentral:rRNA from 2 species
AAACGACUCUCGGCAACGGAUAUCUCGGCUCACGCAUCGAUGAAGAACGUAGCAAAAUGCGAUACUUGGUGUGAAUUGCAGAAUCCCGUGAACCAUCGAGUUUUUGAACGCAAGUUGCGCCCGAAGCCAUUCGGUUGAGGGCACGUCUGCCUGGGCGUCACGUA